rnacentral:ncRNA from 1 species
UCCGAGGGGUGCUCCGAGGAGGAGCUGAGAUACCGCUAAAUGGGCAAUCCUGCCAACACAGGCUGCCCAAGACCGCGGUGACCCUUUGAACCUGAUCCGGGUCAUGCCGGCGAAGGGACAGGGAUGU